UUUAUUUUUCCAUCGUAGUGUAACCUGGCCUCAACUGGUAAUGGAAGCAGAGUCAUCAAAGGAUCAUUACUUGUCAAAUCCUUGGGGGGACGACAGGGCUCAGUAUGAAGGUGCUGAUCUGAGUUUCAGGGACAGUGGAGUGCAUACCUGGUCCGAUGACAUCAAAUACCUAGCAAUGAAGGGCAACGAGGAGGACAAAAGUCUGGACAGGAGAGCUAUAUAUCACGCAGCGCCGUUUAAACAGUGAAAUAAAAACACCACUGACUGCUCAGACAUAUUUUAUGUGUUUUGCUCAAAUAGGAAUUAUAACUUAUUUGUUUUAUUUUAUUUUAGAGGACCCCGGCCUGAUCCAAAAGAGUUCUUGUCAGCAAGGGGUAAUUUCUUUUUAAUAUAUUGAAUAUUUGUUAAGUUAUUUUAAGAGUUGAUACAUUACAUUGUUGAAUUGUGGUUUUCAGUUUCAGUAACAUACUCUGCAACGUUAAAACUAUUACAAUUACAUAUGGGACAUUCCAGGAUUUUGGUACAUUUCAGGGGUGGUCACUUCUGAAAAUUUGAUCUUCAAUUUGAUAAUUAUUAAUCAUAUAUUUAUUAAAUACAGGUAAUAGACUAUCAAAAAUUUUGAUUUGUCAAGCUCAGGUAUCAAAUCAGUCUUUUUAAAUUAGAUAAUGUAAUAUAUUUGGUAACUUACAGUAACAGGGUUGCGAGUAACAGGGUUGUAAAUCUAGGCUAAGUUGUGGUUUACCCCAGGAACAGAUGCUAACUGUAAAAUUUAGCUAUGUAUACAAGAUCAAGGACAAACAUGGUUAUAUAAGUAUAUAAAGUAAAUUUUGACUAUACUCAUUAUUAGUCUUACAAUAUGAGUAACAGGGUUGAGUUCACUGAGUGACACACACAACUUGGACAAAAAUAUUUGGAAAAAAAACUUGAAAAUUGUUAGAGCACUUACUCUUGGUCUCGCCAUGUGGGCAGAAAAUGUCCUUGUGAUGUCACUUCCUUUGUGCCAGUAGACAAAUAUUUUUAACUCUUUCUCUGCAGGUAAAAUUCCUUAUGGUAACAGGGUUGAGCACAUGUUGUGGGACACAACUUAAUAGCAUAAAAACUGUAACAUGCAAAACAGUGUAGACCAAAGAAGUUGUUUUCAUAAGUAAAGGAGAUGCAGAUCAACAAUAUACAAGAGGAAGUCAUUUAUUUAGAGCUUAUUUUAAUUGUUAAAUUUGCCAAAGGAGUUGGUCACCCAAUGUGUGGGACAAGAGAAAACGGCCAUUUUUUGAGGUGGUCCAAAGGUAUUCGGUGUUUUGAAUAAUAUCUAAGGAGCUUAUUUUUACCCCAUAUUUUACAGUUUGUCU